rnacentral:misc_RNA from 1 species
AAGUCGUAACAAGGUUUCCGUAGGUGAACCUGCGGAAGGAUCAUUAACACGUAUCCAAACGUUAAAACACCCCCCUGAACCUUCAUCCUGCUCUUGUAACCCGCGUAGUUCGCAGUCUCUGAUAAAUCAUAGCCCGGAAAGUUGUAGUGAUUCAGAGAGCGGUAGUUCUAUAGGCAAUGUUUCCCCAAGCAGUCAGUGUCGGAAAGUGUGAUUGAUUGUGCAAGGAUAGCGCUUCUACGAUUCCAGUAGACCGUAAACACGGGCAGGAGCUUUGCCAAAGGGUCCCCAUGCCCCCUAAUAACCCCACAGUUUAAUGUGAAGCUCAAUGUAAUACAUUGGGUAAAAAAACCGAACAACUGUUAACAAUGGAUAUCUUGGUUCUC